UACGGGGGGAGCAAGCGUUGUUCGGAUUUAUUGGGCGUAAAGAGCUCGUAGGCGGCUUGUUGCGUCGACUGUGAGAACCCGCGGCUCAACCGUGUGGCUUGCAGUCGAUACGGGCAGGCUAGAGUUCGGUAGGGGAGACUGGAAUUCCUGGUGUAGCGGUGAAAUGCGCAGAUAUCAGGAGGAACACCGGUGGCGAAGGCGGGUCUCUGGGCCGAUACUGACGCUGAGGAGCGAAAGCGUGGGGAGCGAACAGG
rnacentral:rRNA from 1 species